AGAGCUACUGAGGAGAGCGUCAAUUACAUGCAAAUUAGGCGAUGACGUCAUUUAGCGACUUUUAGGACAGCCAAUAGCUGCUUUCCUUACUGAGGAGUGGGCAACACUGAAGGCGGGCCCGAGGCGAGCUUUCUCUCUCAUCUGCUUUUUCCUCUACACAUCCGGUUCCCCCCUGAUGAAUCCGUUGUAGCCGAGAUUCCUCCACCAGAAUUCAGUAUGGCACCGAGUAGUACCAGAACACCAGGCAGUGAGGCCUUAUGUCCAGUGUGCGGAAUACAUUUUCUGCUGGAUUGUAUAGAAAUUCAUGCCAGCUCAUGUGGAGAAAGAAGAGAUAGAGCUUCUUUCAUUUUGGAUGAUGUCCACAGAACUAAGACGAUUGAAAGGUGGGGUCGGCCACAGACUGCACAAUUAAUGACCUAACAGAGGAAAUAUUAAGUUGUGGUUACACUGGACCAAUAAGCCUGGAGGUGAAGGAUGACAUUGUCUGAUGAAAAUCCACCACCUAUGGUUGAGACAACUGGUCUGCCCUCCCUUAGUCCAAAAACAUUCCUUCAGUGGCUCACAGGACAGGGACACAUUCCUGUUCUGGCAGAAGAAAAAAGGCAGAUGAAUGAAGAAAUCCUUCAUCCACCAACCGGUGUAAUGUGAUUAAGGACAGGACGAGACACUAAAGGUCACACGGACACGGAGAACAUGCGCUGGAGCAGGUGCUGGGCCAGGUGCCGGGGCAGGCGCUGGAGCAGGUGCCAAGGAGGGUGCAGAACUAGGUGCCAAGGUAGUCACUGGAGCAGCUGCCAAGGCAGGUGAUGGGCCAGGUGCUGGGGCAGGCGCUAGUGCAGGUGCCAAAGUAGGCUCUGGAGCAGGUUCAGGGACAGGCUCUGGAGCAGGUUCAGGGACGGGCUCUGGAGCAGCUGCUGGGCCAGGUUCAGGGACGGGCUCUGGAGCAGCUGCUGGGCCAGGUUCAGGGACUGGCUCUGGAGCAGCUGCUGGGCCAGGUUCAGGGACGGGCUCUGGAGCAGCUGCUGGGCCAGGUUCAGGGACGGGCUCUGGAGCAGCUGCUGGGGAACGCGCCUCAUGUUCUUCAUCUGCUGCCACCUGUAAAAAAAAAUACCAGAGGUUACCGCUGCAGCUGCUAUGCCAGCCACAUAAACCGCUGGCUUACAAUCGAGAAAAGACUUUAAAAACAUCGCUGCUGAGUCUAAAUCGUCCUGAGAGAUGAGAGGAGAGAUGAUCGCUGUGCGUCCGUCCUCGUCCACUGUCAGUUAAAGACCGAACGAUCAGCUCACUGCUCCGCUUUAUAUAGAGCUCAGGUUCGUUUCAUUUCAUCGGUCACCUACCAUAUAUAUAUGUAUACGUGUGUGUGUGUAUGUGUAUAUAUAUAUAUAUAUAUAUAUAUAUAUAUAUACACUUCCCUCCAAGAGUAUUGGAACAGUGAGGCCAAUCCCUUUAUUUUCGCUGUAGACUGAAAACAUUUGGGUUUGACAUUAAAAGAUGACUAUGAGGCAAAAC